AGUACUUUGCAAAGGACAGAACCUACAAUUAAUGUCAGUGCAAUAAUACAGUUUUCUGCAUUUGUAGUUCAUUUUCUGAAGGGGAAGCUUGUCUGUUUUAUUGCUUACUGUAAUGGACAGUAUCAUGCCCGUGAAGAAUUCUUCUGUGGAACAAUGGUUGUAUGUUUUCCUCCUGUCCCACAAAUCCACUAAAUCUCCCCUAAAAAUCUGCUCUCUUCCACUCAGCUGGUGUUUGCCACUGCAAGAUUGGCCCUGCUGGCAGGACUCCCUCACCCUUCUUGAUCUGCUGGUAUGGCAAGCUGCUGGCAUCUCAACAGACUGGCAUGUUUGGACUGUCCUCGCCUGACAUGUUGGAGAAGGCCUCCUCCUCCUACCCAUUAACUCAGACUAGCCUGGCUGUCUCAUCUGACCGCUCGCUGUCCCACAAUGUUUCUGUCCCCCUCCUGCGUCAUCACUGAGCAUAAAAGCUCGCUCCAAUCCCAAACGGCCACAGCAUCGAGCCUCUUAUCUCACAUCACGGGUCACACCAGCGGUACGUAUGGGAUUGAUUGUCCUCUUCUCACAGAGUGUGUGUCAUUGGCGCUGACUAGCAGCACUCUCCAUUAAUCACAGACUGAUCGCAGCUGAACCUGAAUUUCACACAAAUUGCUCAGCGUGUUGGCCUUCAUCCCCUUUCAGUUUCCCAUCAGCUAAACUCCGGAGGACUACAGAGUGGAAGGUGGAUUGAUGUGUAGCAAUAAUGGGCUCGUGUAGAACUCAGCCAGCCAACAGGAUUAACAGCGUGGGAUCAGGCCUGUCUCUUAAAUGUGGCAGCAGUCAGUGGAUAGCACUAUAGCUGCUCUCACUGCCCUGCUUCCUUAGCCUCACUGCAUUGACUCUUUGUGUGUCUGUCACUGCGCAUCGAUGCAGCACUGGAACAGGAGAGGAGCACACAGCGUUCAGUUCUAUCAGCAGAGUGGCAGGUCUAAUGGGUAGCCCGUCUGGCCGGUCUUGGCCUGACCUAGCCAAGCUGUCACUGUGAUCUGCCCAGCCCUGAAUACCAAUUAUUGGAUAAAAAGGGUUUCACAAUGCUCCCGCUUGGACUGGCUCACUAC